ACCACCAGCACUACCAGCACCACCGCCGCCUAGCCCAGCACCCGCUCCGAUUUCCCAAUCCCGUCGCCCGGCCGUCGGCUCGCCACUCCCUCCCCCAGACGCGUCCCAAAUCCCGGCGUCCCACCUUCCUCAUCCCGGCGCGUCUCGGCCUCCCGUCGGCGACCCUCGGGCCAUCCUGGCGUAGCUCCGCGCGGCCGGCUCCCAUCCCGCCCCGGUGAUUCAUUCCGCUCGUCGCGCCGUCGACCGUUCCGAGUUCCGCCGCCGCCGCCCGUUCCAAGCUCCUCCGCCGUAGUCUCGGUCAACCGCCGGCCGGAGUCCUGCGACCUGAUCCACCUAACGCGUGGGAACUCAUACAUCAGUUCACCAUCAUUCGUGACUCCGUUCCAAGCUCCGCGAGGUCGCUCCGCUCCCGUCGCCAUCGCCCCAGGUGCAAGCCGAACUGCCGGGCAACAUCGAUGGUUGAAAAGAUUCUCCAGCUAGCUGCCCAUAUCACCUGCAAAAAUCACAUACCCCGCGCACCAAAUUGCUCAGUCCCUCCAAUUUCCUUAUCCAUCCUUCAAUCCCCACGGCCACAGAUCCAUUCCAUCGCAAUCGCUGCACACCGCGUCCACAGAUCAAGAAGCAUAGUGCACAGGAGAAGGAGAAUCAAAUUGGUUUGCUUCUUUUAUUUUCCACGUAAACAUCUAUUUAUUUCAGUUUCAGUUUGUCCCAAUCAACUAACAUUGGAAUCGCAUUUGUGGCGUUCUACCACGCUGGCGCCAGCUUCCUAUCCCUCCCCUUACUGUCUUCUUGGCUGUGAAUCUGGAAGCCCAAUUUUUGGAUGAUGCUGGUUGUAGCAGCAGUUGCAUAUGUGCCGCUCGCCGCCGGCGGAUGGGGCCACGUGCAGAGGCAAUGGGAUGGGAAGCGAUGUCACCGUGUGCUUCACUGUCAAGGGAGCUUGUACUUGCUGCUGUGCAUGAUCCCUUCAAUUCGACCAUCCCUGUCCCAGCGGCCUAGCCGAAUUUGUGCUCCCUGCUCUUUGUCCCCUAUUCUUCUUCACUCGAUACAGAAACUGAUGCAGAGGUGAGCUUAAUUGCCAAGUAAAGCCAGAUUGUGUCUAUAACUUCAUAUCAAGAUGAACGCUACUGAUUUUCCAGAGCUAUAAGGCAUCUGCAGGUGCAGGUGCCAUGGCCAUGGAGAUGAGGUUGUGGAAUGGCGGGUGUACAAUGGGGCGUACACGGAUGAGCUCUGUGAAAAAGAGCGGUAUACAUCUGCUUUCGGUUGUUGUCUUCGGAGGGAUAUGGAUGUCCGGAUGGAUCCUGCUGCUGACAGCCAUUUUGGCCAUGCUAGAGGCAACAAUCGGAUAGCAAACAAUGUGUCCGGAUGGAUCCUGCUGCUGACAGCUCAACCUGUGGAACACCCUCUGUAUAGUUCUUGAGCUGCAGAAUCCCCGUGAUACUUCCAUGACUAUAUAUGUCACUGUUUGUGACUAGAAACCUAUCUCUGAUACAUCCCAUGUAAUUGAAGUUUUUUCUAGUCAGACAUCAGAGUAUUUGUGAUCAGUCAGUUUGGCUUCAAAAUAAUUAUGGGUUUUUUCUUGACACUAAUCACUAUAUGCAUUUAAGAAUUAUGUAAUAAUGGAAGUUGUUAUCUAGAAUUUAUAACAAAAGAGAUAUGUUCUUGGUAGUUUGUGAUUAAAUUUACUCCAAAUAGAAGCAUUUCACUGUUCUCAUUAUAUGAUAUCACCAUGUAUAACUAUUUGUUAGUGACUAUAGUUGUUUUCAUUAGAUAUGCAUGCCUGAAGGUGGGAAGAAUAUUUGAU